UACGAAGGGGGCUAGCGUUGUUCGGAAUCACUGGGCGUAAAGCGCACGCAGGCGGAUCGAUAAGUCGGGGGUGAAAGCCCGGGGCUCAACCUCGGAACUGCCUUCGAUACUGUCGGUCUCGAGUCCGGGAGAGGUGAGUGGAAUUCCUAGUGUAGAGGUGAAAUUCGUAGAUAUUAGGAAGAACACCAGUGGCGAAGGCGGCUCACUGGCCCGGUACUGACGCUCAGGUGCGAAAGCGUGGGGAGCAACCACG
rnacentral:rRNA from 1 species